rnacentral:rRNA from 1 species
GACGUAGGGAGCGAGCGUUGUCCGGAUUCAUUGGGCGUAAAGAGCGCGCAGGCGGCUUGGUAAGUCGGAUGUGAAAACCCGGAGCUCAACUCCGGGCGUGCAUCCGAUACUGCCCGGCUAGAGGUAGGUAGGGGAGAUCGGAAUUCCUGGUGUAGCGGUGGAAUGCGCAGAUAUCAGGAAGAACACCGAUGGCGAAAGCAGCUCUCUGGGACGGUACUGACGCUGAGGCGCGAAAGCGUGGGGAGCGAACAGG